AUUGGACGCUGGCGGCAUGCUUUACACAUGCAAGUCGAGCGGUAACAGCCCUUCGGGUGCUGACGAGUGGCGAACGGGUGAGUAAUGCAUCGGAACGUACCCAGAGGUGGGGGAUAACGCAGCGAAAGCUGUGCUAAUACCGCAUGUGAUCUGAGGAUGAAAGCGGGGGACCGAGCAGCAAUGUUUGACCUCGCGCCUUUGGAGCGGCCGAUGUCGGAUUAGCUAGUUGGUGGGGUAAAGGCCUACCAAGGCGACGAUCCGUAGCUGGUCUGAGAGGACGACCAGCCACACUGGGACUGAGACACGGCCCAGACUCCUACGGGAGGCAGCAGUGGGGAAUUUUGGACAAUGGGCGCAAGCCUGAUCCAGCAAUGCCGCGUGCGGGAAGAAGGCCUUCGGGUUGUAAACCGCUUUUGGCAGGAACGAAACGGUGUCCGCUAAUACCGGGCGCUAAUGACGGUACCUGCAGAAUAAGCACCGGCUAACUACGUG
rnacentral:rRNA from 1 species